rnacentral:rRNA from 1 species
UACGUAGGGGGCAAGCGUUGUCCGGAUUUAUUGGGCGUAAAGAGCGUGUAGGCGGCCAGACAGGUCCGUUGUGAAAACUCGAGGCUCAACCUCGAGAUGUCGAUGGAAACCGUCUGGCUAGAGUCCGGAAGAGGAGUGUGGAAUUCCUGGUGUAGCGGUGAAAUGCGCAGAUAUCAGGAAGAACACCGAUGGCGAAGGCAGUUCUCUGGGCCGUAACUGACGCUGAGGAGCGAAAGCGUGGGGAGCGAACAGG